rnacentral:rRNA from 1 species
GGUUAAGCGACUAAGCGUACACGGUGGAUGCCCUGGCAGUCAGAGGCGAUGAAGGACGUGCUAAUCUGCGAUAAGCGUCGGUAAGGUGAUAUGAACCGUUAUAACCGGCGAUUUCCGAAUGGGGAAACCCAGUGUGAUUCGUCACACUAUCAUUAACUGAAUCCAUAGGUUAAUGAGGCGAACCGGGGGAACUGAAACAUCUAAGUACCCCGAGGAAAAGAAAUCAACCGAGAUUCCCCCAGUAGCGGCGAGCGAACGGGGAGCAGCCCAGAGCCUGAAUCAGUGUGUGUGUUAGUGGAAGCGUCUGGAAAGGCGUGCGAUACAGGGUGACAGCCCCGUACACAAAAAUGCACAUGCUGUGAGCUCGAUGAGUAGGGCGGGACACGUGGUAUCCUGUCUGAAUAUGGGGGGACCAUCC